rnacentral:rRNA from 1 species
GAUGAACGCUGGCGGCGUGCCUAAUACAUGCAAGUCGAGCGAACAGACGAGGAGCUUGCUCCUCUGACGUUAGCGGCGGACGGGUGAUUAACACGUGGAUAACCUACCUAUAAGACUGGGAUAACUUCGGGAAACCGGAGCUAAUACCGGAUAACAUGUUGAACCGCAUGGUUCAACAGUGAAAGACGGUCUUGCUGUCACUUAUAGAUGGAUCCGCGCCGCAUUAGCUAGUUGGUAAGGUAACGGCUUACCAAGGCAACGAUGCGUAGCCGACCUGAGAGGGUGAUCGGCCACACUGGAACUGAGACACGGUCCAGACUCCUACGGGAGGCAGCAGUAGGGAAUCUUCCGCAAUGGGCGAAAGCCUGACGGAGCAACGCCGCGUGAGUGAAGAAGGUCUUCGGAUCGUAAAACUCUGUUAUUAGGGAAGAACAAAUGUGUAAGUAACUAUGCACGUCUUGACGGUACCUAAUCAGAAAGCCACGGCUAACUACGUG